UACCAGCACCCCGAGUGGUCGGGACGUUUAUUGGGCCUAAAGCAUCCGUAGCCGGUUCUACAAGUCUUCCGUUAAAUCCACCUGCUUAACAGAUGGGCUGCGGAAGAUACUAUAGAGCUAGGAGGCGGGAGAGGCAAGCGGUACUCGAUGGGUAGGGGUAAAAUCCGUUGAUCCAUUGAAGACCACCAGUGGCGAAGGCGGCUACCUGGACCGGUUCUGACGCUGAGGCGCGAAAGCGUGGGUAGCAAACAGG
rnacentral:rRNA from 1 species